AUUGAACGCUGGCGGCAUGCUUUACACAUGCAAGUCGAACGGUAACAGGUUAAGCUGACGAGUGGCGAACGGGUGAGUAAUGCAUCGGAACGUGCCCGAUCGUGGGGGAUAACGCAGCGAAAGCUGCGCUAAUACCGCAUACGAUCUGAGGAUGAAAGCGGGGGACCGUAAGGCCUCGCGCGAUCGUAGCGGCCGAUGUAAGAUUAGGUAGUUGGUGGUGAAAAGGCGCACCAAGCCGACGAACUGUAGCUGGUCUGAGAGGACGAGCAUCCACGCUGGGCAUGAGACGCGGCCCAGACUCCUAAGGGAGGCAGCAGUGGGGAAUUGUGGACAAUGGGCGAAAGCCUGAUGCAGCAAUGCCGCGUGCAGGAAGAAGGCCUUCGGGUUGUAAACUGCUUUUGUACGGAGCGAAAAGGCUCUCUCUAAUACAGGGGGCUCAUGACGGUACCGUAAGAAUAAGCACCGGCUAACUACGUGCCAGCAGCCGCCGUAACAC
rnacentral:rRNA from 1 species